rnacentral:rRNA from 1 species
GCAUAUCAAUAAGCGGAGGAAAAGAAACUAACAAGGAUUCCCCUAGUAACGGCGAGUGAAGAGGGAAGAGCUCAAAUUUUAAAUCUGCCUUGUUUCAAGGUCGAGUUGUAAUUUGAAGAAGCGUUUUCUUGGGCUCGCGGCCGGUAGAAGUUCUUUGGAACAGGACAUCAUAGAGGGUGACAAUCCCGUCUGCGACCGGUCGUGCGUUCAUCUACGAUACGCUUUCAAAGAGUCGAGUUGUUUGGGAUUGCAGCUCCAAAUGGGUGGUAAACAUCACCUAAGGCUAAAUAUUGGCGAGAGACCGAUAGCGAACAAGUACCGUGAGGGAAAGAUGAAAAGAACUUUGAAAAGAGAGUUAAACAGUACGUGAAAUUGUUGAAAGGGAAACGAUUGAAGUCAGUCGUGCUGGCGCGAAAUCAACCCUCUCGUCGAGAGGACACAUGGCGUGGCGAGCCUCAAAACCGUCACGAAGCGUGAACUCUUGGCGAAAAGGAGCACUUUCGUGUCCGCUGGUUAACAUCAAUUUCGAACGUCAUAAAAAGGCUGGAGGGAUGUGGCUCCUUCGGGAGUGUUAUAACCUUUAGCGGAAUGUGGUGGUCGGGAUUGAGGAUUGCAACGAAUACCUUUAGGGCUGUUCCACCUGGCCUCUCUUUGGUAUCCUGGUGACGACAGCUUGCUGACGUUGUUAGGAUUCGCCAUUGAACAGGCUAGAGUGUGAGCAAAUUCGUUAAGGAUGUUGACGUAAUGGCUUUAAACGAC